UACAUGGACUUUUGAGUGAAUGGAAAAUAUGUAAUAUUUUAGUGUCUGUACUUAACCAUUUUUGUGUUGUCUUAGAACUAGUCACUUACCUCCUUGGGGUAAAGUCUUUAACUACUAUAUAGACUCUAUUUCCUGAAUAUUUUCUCCUGUUUCUGUGAAUAUUUGCCAAAUUUAUGGGCACUGAAUAAAUAUUUAGUGAACUAAAUCCAUACAUUUGGUCACACAGGUUUCCAUUCACACAUGUCAGUUACUGUAUGUGAUAGGACAUUGAAUUAAUGAACAUGUUACUGUGGUUGAGAGAAUUACCAAAUCUGAAUAGCUAAUUUACUUUUUUCGUUCCUGGAUUUUUGUUUAGUGCAUUUGCUGAAGAAAACUCUGCAGAAAUGUGAGAAGAAUGGGUGGAUGGAGCAGAUCUCUGGUAAAGGAUUCAGUGGCACCUUCCAACUCUGUUUUCCUUAUUACCCCAGCCCAGGAAUUUUAUUUCCAAAGAAAGAGCCAGAUGAUUCUAAAGAUGAGGAUGAGGAUGAGGAUGAAGAUGAAGAUGAGUCAUCAGAAGACUCUGAGGAUGAAGAACCACCACCUAAGAGAAGGUUGCAAAAGAAAACUCCAGCCAAGUCCCGAAGGAAAGUGGCACCCAUGAAGCAGAGAGGGUCAAAGCCUGCACCUAAAGUCCCAGCUUCCCAGCGAGGCAAAGUUAGACCCCUGCCCAGGAAAGCUCCUCCUCCUAAGGCCAAAACUCCUGCCAAGAAAGGCAGACUCUCAGCCUCAGUCAUCAAGAAACGUAGUGGUAGCUCCUCAAAGAAGCCGGCAGCCAGUGUGGUGAGAAAGGAAGUAAAAUUACCUGGCAAGGGUAAAUCCACCAUGAAGAAGUCCUUCAAAACAAAAAAGUAAAUUUUAUAGCAAGAAAAGGUAUCAUGAUAAAGUUCAAAAUCUUAUUUUAUAAGGUCAGUGUGCAUUUGUUUUUAGUUUUGAUGCUUAUAAAAUUUCUUUUUCCUCCCAUAUGAACAUUGCAGGGAGGGAAUAUAACCAAUUUAGGCAUUUGUUAGCUUUAGGUGCUGUUUUUGGUGCCUACCCCUUCCCCAAUCAUAUUAAUUUCUGCCAUAAUCUGGGACUCUCCUGAACUAUAUAAUCUUUUUGUCCCUCCUACCCAACCUCUUUUUUUUUUUUUUUUUUUAAUGGUAAUAAGCUUUGGUGCCUCUCUCCUCCUCUGGCUCUUGCUGUUCCCCAUCUUAUAAAAGUUACUUCACUAACCCUCUCUCUCCAACUAUGAACAGAGACAACUUAGCUUUGGAAAUAACCUGAAAAUAUUGUGAUCACCUUUGUUUCUGAGGAUGCACGACUGUUUUGGGCCUCUUCACAUUGACAAAGUUACAGGAAUUGUUCUCUGACCCAGAGCAUUGCAUUCCCUUCACAGCAAGCACAAGAACUCUCUACUACUUGGUUCUGACUGCAGGGGAAAUACAAGAAUAUUGUGAAUCCAGUUUCCAGUGUCACCUCUGUUACCAAAAAUCAAAAAAACAAAACCUUCUUGAUCAGAUGUUUAAAUAUAUUUUUUAGUAUUUGAAGCAUGAGUUGUCACUGUUUGCCUUUUUUAUGAGGAAGUAUUGGAGAGUUACAAAUGUAGAAAUGUUAAGUGGAAAAACAUACGGUUUGCUUAAAUAAAAUAGAUUCCAGAUUCAUCUGUGGAUUUUUUUCCCCUUUCUUUCGAAAACACUUUUGAUAUCAAUUAAUUGGCUUCCUUUUUCAGAUAUUUUAAAGAAAAAGAAAAGCAAAUGAAGCCCUACUACCUAACCCUUUUUUAUUUGUGUUUGUUUUAGUAUUGUGAAGUUGUGUUAAAAUAGUACUAGCUUUCUACUCAAGAAAUACCAGUUUUCUGGUUGUUGUUUCUCUUCCCUGUGGCACUUGACAUAUUAAUUGUCUUAACUCUUUGGCGUACUUCUGGGCCCUGAGGGCUGCCAGAAUCAAAAGGUGUUUGUUUCCUACUCAUUCCACUUGCAUUGUCUGCUGGGAUCCCAUCUGCAGCUUGAGUGUGGCUGAGAAAUGGACUUGAGAAGAUUGGCUUGGAUUAGAUCAUAAUCAUGUGUGAUCCCGUCAUGCAUUUGUUGGAAUUUGUGUUGCAUGUAAGGCAAUCUUUCCUGUUGUAAAUCUUCCUUUUUUUAUGUACAUAUAUUUUGAAAAAUAUGAAUAAACAUGAAAUUUUAAAAGCUGCUGACUGU
rnacentral:lncRNA from 1 species